UACGAAGGGGGCUAGCGUUGUUCGGAAUUACUGGGCGUAAAGCGCGCGCAGGCGGCCUUCCAAGUCAGUGGUGAAAGCCUGGAGCUCAACUCCAGAACUGCCAUUGAAACUGUUAGACUUGAGUACGAGAGAGGUGAGUGGAAUUCCCAGUGUAGAGGUGAAAUUCGUAGAUAUUGGGAAGAACACCAGUGGCGAAGGCGGCUCACUGGCUCGUAACUGACGCUCAGGCGCGACAGCGUGGGGAUCAAACAGG
rnacentral:rRNA from 1 species